GAUUUUGUAUUGAAAUGGUAUAUGAAAUUAUAUAGGUAUAUGUGGAAUUCGAAUGUUAAAGGUACAUAGUAUAUUAUAAGUUGAAUCUUAUGAUAUUAUUAGUGGAAUCUAAAGUAUGAGGUUAUAUAUAUUGUAAUACCCAAUUAUUGCCCGGGGCCCAAAAUCCUAAAACCCAAUGACCCAAUACACCAAACCAAAAAACUACAAGCCCAAAUAAUUAAACCCAGUUACAGCCCAUUACACCAAGAAAACAAACAGCAGAAACACUAACAGUUAGCAGCAGAUCGACGCCACCAUUGUCCCACGUCGCAGCAACUAUCUCCAUGCACGAACGCAUAGCAACUGCCCACGUCGCGCAUGCCUCUUCCAGUACCCACCUGCAACAAAAUCAAAUUAUCGAACCACAGCACAAAUGAUGUUUUUGAUUGUUGUUUUGGGGGUAUAAAAAGGAAUUUGUAAAACCGAUUUGGGGGUUACAAAAAUUAAGAAAAAAAAGAAAGAAAGGGAGGAUAGGAAGUUAGCAAAUUUUUGCUGAGAACUGAGAAAGGAAUACCAGAGGAAGAAGAAACAAUUUUGAAGGUUUGUUCUUUGGGUUUAUUUUUGCUAUUUGUUUUUUUUUCUCUCCCCUUUCAUUCUGGUAUUUUAUAAAAAAAAUAAAAUAAACAAAAGGGGUAGAGGAAAGGAGACUUACCGUUGUGGUGUCGUCGGAGUGCCCUCACAUCGCCGUUGCUGGUCGGAAAUGGGGCUUGCAUGGUUGAGAAGAGAGGAAGCUACGGCAACUUCAAAUGGCAGAGAAAGGGAAUGACUUUUGGGGUUUUGAUUAGAAUUUGAAAUGGGGUUUUAUUAAUGGGCUAUUUACCUUUUUAGUCAUUUUCAUUUUUCCAUCAUUUCAAAAUUAUGAUUUUUGGUUUUUAAAUUUUGCUAUGAAAUACUGAAAUUGUUUUAUUUUAAUCCCAUUUCAACGCAGUGUGUGGGAGGUUUGGAAAAAUUUCCCUUUUGGUCCUCCUCCCAUUGCGCGUAUUUUAAUUUGCUCCAAUUUUGUUAUUGUAAUUGCGGAUUUGCCCCAAGUCAUUGUUUUAAGUUUUAAAUUGG
rnacentral:lncRNA from 1 species